rnacentral:rRNA from 1 species
UGGAAGAGUGAAUAUUUAAACUAUAAUUAUUAAUAGUUAAUAUCUUUAAAAUUAAAGAUUUUGGCGGUAUUUUAGUCUUUUCAGAGGAACCUGUUUAUUAAUCGAUAGUCCACGAUUUAUUUUACUUUAGUUUUAAAUUUACAUAUCGUUGUAAAAUAAAUAUUUUUAUAGGAUUUAAAUGUUUGGGAUUUAUUAUUAUAUAUUAAUUCAGAUCAAGGUGUAGUUUAUAUUAAAGUUUAAAUGGGUUACAUUAUAUUUAUAUUUGGUUUNUAUAAUUGAAAAUUAUUAAAUAAAUUGGAUUUGAGAGUAAUUUUUAUAUUUUUAUAAAGUGAUUUAGCUCUAAAAUAUGC